CGAGGGGGGUGCAGGGAAGGAACGGCGGUGCGGUUGCGCGCAACAACAAGCGGAGUGCCGGUUAUCACACUAGGGGGCGAGCGAGAGCAGUGGGGCGGAAGUGAGACCGUUAAAUCAAACCACCGAGGAAGACGGGAACGUUAAACAGUGUAAUACGACUACUGGACGCGAGGGGCGAGCGAGAGCGAAAUGCAGGAAGUUGAGCCGCUCACUAAAGUUAAGGUAUAUCACCUCUAGUGUAUUAACAGUAAUACAAAUCAAUCAAUCAAAUGUAGGUCAAUUAUGCUUGAUAAUUUAUUAUACUUACAGAAAAAAACUGCAUACAUCACAUCUUUCUACGUUUUGGUUUUCAUUUAUCUAUUUUCAAAUAAAAUCAAUCAAAUGUAGGUAAAUUAUGCUUGAUAAUUGAAUAAACUUAAAGAAAAAUAACUGCAUAAAUCACAUCUCCAUUAAUGGGUUUGUGUCUCAAAAAGACGAAGCUUCGCACAGAAAGUUGUGGUACAAGCUGGUCUUUGCCUUGUAGGCUCUUGUUCAGUGAGUUCAGAUGACCAGUAAGAUAAACUAGAAAGGCAAUAAGGGAAUAAAACCGCUUCAGCACGGAGCCGCGACUAAGCCAGCGCACGUCACAAUGAUAGAGUACGUCCCCGUAUUCAGCAUCGACAUCAGAUAGGAAAGCUUAAUUCUCUGUGGUAGAGCCCUCGUGCUCAAAUUAUGUUGACAGUUUUCACAACUGUGGUCAUCACAUCGCCAAGCUGGACUGUCUUGGCACAGAGAGCUUCUUGGUGGAUGAUACAGUGCAAUUUUACAGCCUCGCCUCCACUCUCUGGCACCUUGGCGCACACCAUAGAUGCCAUUCCUUUGGGCUCGCCUGUCAUAGCGGGAGCCCCGUCCGUUGCAACUCCACACAGCUCGUCCCAUUUAAGUUCCAUCUUGUCAAUUGCACCUGACGCGGCUUCAAAAAUGUUCAAGCCCCCAUUGUUGUGCCCUUUAGACUCCGAAGAUCAAGCAGCUCCUCCGUAAUGCAAAAGUUAUCGUCAACUCCCCGCAAAGAAAUGAACAGUUGUGCGGCGUCUGUUGCAUCUUUCAUCACAUGCAAUGGAGUAAAAGUCAAAAGCACAAGCUUUAUGUGACACUUGAUUCUGUAUGUUAGCUGACAAGUCUUCCAUUCAACGCACAAUUGUGUUUGUGGACAUGCUCACGUUGUUGAAUUCCUGCAUCUUUUCCGGGCACAUUAUUCCAGCGACUUUAAUGAGGCACUGUUUAACCAAGUCACCGUCUGAGAAAGCUUUCCCGCGGCGCGCUAUGAGUUGAGCUACCUCAUAGCUAGCUAUUGUAGCGUUUUCUUGUGUUUGUUAGCAGGGUAAAAGUACUGUUGUUGAGCCUGCAGGUUAGCUGCCAUGUGCUGGACUUUGUCCUCUCGCUCAGCAGCAGUGUAGGACGUGAAGGUCGGAGGCUUGGUUUCGUAGUGUCGUCGCACAUUGGACUCUUUCAUCACUGCAACCGUUUCAUUGCAAAUCAAACAGACACACUUCUCCUUGACCUCUUUGAAGAAAUAUUCAUUUUCCCACCGUGUUUGAAAUGUUCUGCAUUCACUUGCUAUCUUGCGUU
ensembl:lncRNA